rnacentral:rRNA from 1 species
UGGGGAAUCUUCCGCAAUGGACGAAAGUCUGACGGAGCAACGCCGCGUGUAUGAUGAAGGUCUUCGGAUUGUAAAGUACUGUCAUUGGGGAAGAACGGUUUUCUUGAAAAGAUUGAGAAGACAUGACGGUACCCAAGGAGGAAGCCCCGGCUAACUACGUGCCAGCAGCCGCGGUAAUACGUAGGGGGCAAGCGUUGUCCGGAAAUUAUUGGGCGUAAAGGGCGCGUAGGCGGGCCUUUAAGUCCGGUGUGAAAGAUCAGGGCUCAACCCUGAGAGUGCAUCGGAAACUGGAGGCCUUGAGGACAGGAGAGGAAAGUGGAAUUCCACGUGUAGCGGUGAAAUGCGUAGAUAUGUGGAGGAACACCAGUGGCGAAGGCGACUUUCUGGACUGUAACUGACGCUGAGGCGCGAAAGCGUGGGGAGCAAAACAGGAUUAGAUACCCUGGUAGUCCACGCCGUAAACGAUGAGUGCUAGGUGUAGAGGGUAUCGACCCCUUCUGUGCCGCAGUUAAACACAAUAAGGCACUCCCGCCUGGGGAGGUACGGCCGCAAGAUUAAAAACUUAAAGGAAUUGACGGGGUCAUAGCUG